UUUGGCUUCGUUUUAAUGCUAAACAUAGCAGCCUUACAAUCAAACGCCAAGGGAGUGUCUCGAUAAACCGUGCACUUAAUUGUUCAAGAGAAAUGGCAUGUAAUCAUUUAGAUUCCCUUGCUAAAGAACUAGUAGAUGUUGGUAUUAUGAUAAAU